AGUGAACGCUGGCGGCGUGCUUAACACAUGCAAGUCGAACGAGAACGGAAUAUAGCUUGCUAUAUUUGUCAGCUAAGUGGCGCACGGGUGAGUAAUGUAUAGAUAACCUGCCCUUAAGAAAGGAAUAACAGUUGGAAACGACUGCUAAUGCCCUAUAUGCCUUUAAUACAUAAGUAUGCAAGGGAAACGCUUUAGUGCUUAAGGAUGGGUCUGUAUGGUAUCAGCUUGUUGGUGGGGUAAUGGCUCACCAAGGCUAUGACGCCUAACUGGUUUGAGAGAAUGAUCAGUCACACUGGAACUGAGACACGGUCCAGACUCGUACGGGAGGCAGCAGUGGUGAAUAUUGCACAAUGGACGAAAGUCUGAUGCAGCAACGCCGCGCGGAGGAUGACACAUUUCGGUGCGUAAACUCCUUUUAUAUAGGAAGAUAAUGACGGUACUAUAUGAAUAAGCACCGGCUAACUCCGUGCCAGCAGCCGCUGUAA
rnacentral:rRNA from 1 species